GAUGAACGCUGGCGGCGUGCCUAAUACAUGCAAGUCGAGCGAACAGACGAGGAGCUUGCUCCUCUGACGUUAGCGGCGGACGGGUGAGUAACACGUGGAUAACCUACCUAUAAGACUGGGAUAACAUCGGGAAACCGGAGCUAAUACCGGAUAAUAUAUUGAACCGCAUGGUCCAAUAGUGAAAGACGGUUUUGCUGUCACUUAUAGAUGGAUCCGCGCCGCAUUAGCUAGUUGGUAAGGUAACGGCUUACCAAGGCAACGAUGCGUAGCCGACCUGAGAGGGUGAUCGGCCACACUGGAACUGAGACACGGUCCAGACUCCUACGGGAGGCAGCAGUAGGGAAUCUUCCGCAAUGGGCGAAAGCCUGACGGAGCAACGCCGCGUGAGUGAUGAAGGUCUUCGGAUCGUAAAACUCUGUUAUUAGGGAAGAACAAAUGUGUAAGUAACUAUGCACGUCUUGACGGUACCUAAUCAGAAAGCCACGGCUAACUACGUG
rnacentral:rRNA from 1 species